UCACAGUGCGGAGAGUGGGCCGGUCCCCGAGGCUGCGGUAGAUGACAGCGUCGAUGGCUAGGAAGUCGGUCACGGUGGCCGUGAAGAGCAUCCCUUCUGGUUGGGUUCAGGGGCCAGGGGUCCCUCCCGGCCUACACCAGAGCCACAGCAACCUGGUAUCCAAGCAGCAUCUGGAGUAGCUUGCUGCAACGCUGGAUCCUUAACCCACUGAGUGAGGCCAGGGAUGGAACCUAAAUCCUCAUGGACACUAGUCAAUACUACUAAGCUGGAAUACCUCUGCAACUGGAGCCUCACGACCUCUCCAGAGGGCCUGUUUCCUGCUCCCAUUCAAGAGAAUUUGAAGAACCUUCCAGGGCCGCACCUGCGGCAUCAGAGCUACAGCUGCCAGCCUACAC